rnacentral:rRNA from 1 species
AGGAUGAACGCUGGCGGCGUGCAUAACACAUUCAAGUCGAACGGAGAGGAGAGAGCUUGCUCUCUCUGAUCAGUGGCGGACGGGUGAGUAACGCGUGAGCAACCUGCCUAUGCGAGGGGGAUAACACAGGGAAACUUGUGCUAAUACCGCAUAAAGUAAUCGGAUCACAUGGUUUGAUUACCAAAGAUUUAUCGCGCAUAGAUGGGCUCGCGUCUGAUUAGGUAGUUGGUGAGGUAACGGCUCACCAAGCCGACGAUCAGUAGCCGGACUGAGAGGUUGAACGGCCACAUUGGAACUGAGAAACGGUCCAGACUCCUACGGGAGGCAGCAGUGGGGAAUAUUGGGCAAUGGGGGAAACCCUGACCCAGCAACGCCGCGUGAAGGAAGAAGGCCUUCGGGUUGUAAACUUCUUUUAGCAGGGACGAAGAACGUGACGGUACCUGCAGAAAAAGCAACGGCUAACUACGUG